AUUGGGACUGAGAUACGGCCCAGACUCCUACGGGAGGCAGCAGUGGGGAAUAUUGCACAAUGGGCGCAAGCCUGAUGCAGCGACGCCGCGUGCGGGAUGACGGCCUUCGGGUUGUAAACCGCUUUUGACUGGGAGCAAGCCCUUCGGGGUGAGUGUACCUUUCGAAUAAGCACCGGCUAACUACGUGCCAGCAGCCGCGGUAAUACGUAGGGUGCAAGCGUUAUCCGGAAUUAUUGGGCGUAAAGGGCUCGUAGGCGGUUCGUCGCGUCCGGUGUGAAAGUCCAUCGCUUAACGGUGGAUCCGCGCCGGGUACGGGCGGGCUUGAGUGCGGUAGGGGAGACUGGAAUUCCCGGUGUAACGGUGGAAUGUGUAGAUAUCGGGAAGAACACCAAUGGCGAAGGCAGGUCUCUGGGCCGUCACUGACGCUGAGGAGCGAAAGCGUGGGGAGCGAACAGGAUUAGAUACCCUGGUAGUCCACGCCGUAAACGGUGGAUGCUGGAUGUGGGGACCAUUCCACGGUCUCCGUGUCGGAGCCAACGCGUUAAGCAUCCCGCCUGGGGAGUACGGCCGCAAGGCUAAAACUCAAAGAAAUUGACGGGGGCCCGCACAAGCGGCGGAGCAUGCGGAUUAAUUCGAUGCAACGCGAAGAACCUUACCUGGGCUUGACAUGUUCCCGACAGCCGUAGAGAUACGGUCUCCCUUCGGGGCGGGUUCACAGGUGGUGCAUGGUCGUCGUCAGCUCGUGUCGUGAGAUGUUGGGUUAAGUCCCGCAACGAGCGCAACCCUCGCCCUGUGUUGCCAGCACGUCGUGGUGGGAACUCACGGGGGACCGCCGGGGUCAACUCGGAGGAAGGUGGGGAUGACGUCAGAUCAUCAUGCCCCUUACGUCCAGGGCUUCACGCAUGCUACAAUGGCCGGUACAACGGGAUGCGACCUCGUGAGGGGGAGCGGAUCCCUUAAAACCGGUCUCAGUUCGGAUUGGAGUCUGCAACCCGACUCCAUGAAGGCGGAGUCGCUAGUAAUCGCGGAUCAGCAACGCCGCGGUGAAUGCGUUCCCGGGCCUUGUACACACCGCCCGUCAAGUCAUGAAAGUGGGUAGCACCCGAAGCCGGUGGCCCAACCUUUUGGGGGGAGCCGUCUAAGGUGAGACUCGUGAUUGGGACUAAGUCGUAACAAGGUAGCCGUACCGGAAGGUGCGGCUG
rnacentral:rRNA from 1 species